AUUAGAGGAUUUAUCCGUUACACCUCCAACGUUGGAAAUUCGAGACAUAUUUUUCAACGAAGAUCCUCGCAAGAUGUCCCUUGGAUAGCAUAUACACGGUGUACGAUAAAUCACACGGUCAAUGUGCAUGAUUGACUAAUAUAAAAUAUACAGAAUUUAUUAUUUUA